AUUGCUUCUCAGCCUUUUGGCUAAGAUCAAGUGUAUUAUGAUGUAGGCCACCAGUUUGUCAUGGAUGGCCUUUAUCAGAUUGUGAUAAAGACUAUAUAUUCCAAUUUUCUGUAGGGGUUUAUCAUGAAUGAGUGUUAGACUUCGUCGGUUGGUUUUUCUGGAACUACUGAGAUGGUGUUAUGGCU
rfam:Fukomys damarensis contig157504, whole genome shotgun sequence.